GAUAUCAAAAUGGAGGUGAUCUCUUAACAUUGCUGUAAAAGUUAAUCUGUCAGCAUGUUUCCUUAAAAUGAGUCAAAUUAAAUUGUUGAUAUGAUUGAACAAAUCAGUCCUUGUACUAGUUAAAGAGGCUUUUCUGAUGACCCACCCCACCCCCUUUACUGCGUGAACUUCUCUCUGGUUUUUAUUGUAUUUUCCUGAUCCUUCCAUUUUUUUCUUUGGCAAGCAGUAUUUAAAUACCAUUUGCUCAUUCAUGAAUCAAAUAUGGCUGCCAUCGCAUCACCUUUUGUCCAUAGAAUGUACAGAGGGAACAUGAGAUAGGAGUGCAAUGUUUAAGUCUCCAAAUAUUAAAAACAAACAACAAACCCACUAGCAUUUCUCUUGCUUUGAUGUUCUGGCAUCUUCUUUAGGCCAGAACUGCAUUUGUAAUACCUAACUGAAUCCAAAUGUCCUUGAAAGAAUGUCAAAUUUGAGAGUCUAUUGAGUUGACCAGCGCCAGACCUCUCGAUUAUCCCUCAGUUUUAAUAUCUGAUUUCUACCCAAAAUGAGUAUUUCUAGGAGAGAAAGUCACAUCCUUGUUCACAUUCACCAUGGGUGUGAUCAGUUCUUCUCCAAAUUCCAUUUUUCCUUUGAUUUAUUGCUAAUUGUCUCCUUCUAUCCCUAGGGUAGCACGUUGCCUGUUUUAAAUACAUCUUUAACCUUAUAAGAAAAGAUGUUUUGGAAGUUCUCUGUGGCACAGCAGGUUAAGGAUCUGGUGUUGCUGAAGUUGUAACUGAGGCUCGGGUUUGAUCCCUGACCCAGGAAGUUCCACCUGCUUUGAGUGUGGCCAAAAAACAAAACACAAAACAAAAGAUGUUCCAAUGAAAAGCAAAUAUAUGUUUAUGUGUCCCUUAAUUGGUGAAUGGAAAAUAAGUAAAGGAUACUUCUACUGCAUUCACCUGUAUUCCAGUCUUUUCCAAGUCAUGUUCAGGACCACUGGUUCUGGGAAAUAUUCACUGCGAUCUGAGACCAAAUGAUCCUACCCAUGCUCCCCACUUCUUGGGCAUUGACAAUAAAUGUUAGCAUUUUAAUGAAACUGAAGAAGCUUUUGGAUCAGGAAAACAUUUUUUUUCUAAACACACCUCGAAGAAACUUAAGAAAAGUUUUCUUUUAACACAGUUUACAUAGCUUUCAGCGACUUCAGACUUUAUAACCAGGAAUGCUUUGGAAAGAUGCUUCUGGGUUUUUGUUUGAACUCUAAGAGGAAUAUCUGCCACUUUAAAUAAACUAGUAUCUACUUUAAAUGUCAUUAGUAUAUCUUAGUGAAUUUAACUUAAUCACCUAAAAUAUUCAAAACAAAACAAUGACAUUGUUUUAAUAUUUUAAUAUUUAUUUUUAAGAUCUGCACCUAUGACCUGCACAUCAGGCUGCUAUCUGUGGCAGAUGGUCGAAAUUCUUUGCAGAAUGGAAUUAAUACUAGUGAACAAUCUUUAUAAUACUUUGAACAUUUUAAGAAAUUGAAUCAUGAUAGACUGAUGCUGACACUUUUUUUACAUAAUCUUGUUAGAAAGUACACUUUAAAAUUCAGUUAAAUCUGAGAGAAACGCACUGUUUGGAUUAGAUUUUGAAGCUUCUACUCUAUGAAUGAGCAUCAGAUAGUUCUUUUUUGCUUUGCUUUAUUUUGCAAAUCAAUCUUUUUAUAAAAAACAAAUAAAUCAGCAAAGUUUUUGUAAAAAUUCCUGGGUAGGAGUUCCUGUUUUGGGCUCAUAACCCGCUGAGCCACAAUGAGAACUCCUAAGAUAUUGUAAAUAACACACCUAACGACUACCACUAGGAUUAUCUUCCCAAAGUCCAAAGUUGUUUCUUUUCCUUAUGAGAUGCUAGGAUGAUCAAUUUGAUAGCUGUGAUUUUUCAGGUCAGUAUUUAGUUCUUGCUUUGUUAAAUGGAUAUGCAUGAGAGGGACUGACUCCCGUUUGAUCUCUUUCUCUGUGGAAACAUUGCCACUGAAUAAUUAAGUGUUCUUUAAAAAGUCAAGUGUUGGUAUGAUGAUACGUUAAUCUAUGAGCAGGGCUUAUGACAGGCCAAGCAGUCAUUUAUAGAAUUGGCUUUUUAAACUGUAAGAAUAGCGUUGGGUUUCAAUAUUCAAAAAAAAUUUUUUUUCACUUUGUAUAGGGAAAGAUCUGUAUGAAAGAGACGAUCAAAAUUUAAUGUUCAUCCCUCCUAAGUGGCAGUGUAAGGCAUUGUGGGUUUCAGUUUUUGUUUUUUUGUUUUUUGGGGUUUUUUGUACUUUAACAAGGAGAGAAACUAGGAAAAGAAUUUCAGAGAAAUUUUGCUGUGUUUCUAAAGGUAAUAAAAUUCAGCCAAUUGUCUUUCUUUAGGAAAAUGCUAUUAAUGUAUACUUUGAGUUGGUAGCACCUUUUAUUUAGAGUUGUCCAUGACCUUUGUAGCAAAAAAUAAACAAUGUCUGUAUGACCUGGGGUGGAGUAGAUAUUUUCACAAAAUAUAUUGAGCAUUAAAUAUUUAUAAAAAGAAUUGUGGACGAAAAUACUCGAGUACACUUUUAAAAAUUAGUUAAAAUGUUGAUGGCUGGCUCUUUUUCCUACAUGUGUAAUACAACAGAGAAUACUUUAUUCUCAUAGCCAUUAUUGCUUUGUCUGUGAUGAAAUCUUUACUGCUUCUGUGCUGUGCUCAAGAAAAAACCAGCAAAAGAAGCAAGGGCCUGUUCCUUCACAGAACUUCCCAAAGCUCUCUGUUGAGCAAUGGUGAGAUGAAUGUGUAAUAUUGAUUCAGUAAAGAAAAUCAUGAGAACAUUUUAAUGUUACUUGCCUUAUAGGUUAGAAAAGGUGUAUAUAUCUUUUUUUGGUAAAUAAUGAUUUUUUUACAAAUGUUUUUUUCCUUCAUAAUUUUCCCAAUCACCCAUUUCACAAAAUCCUGAAUAUGCAAUUAUUUACCGUGGCACAUUACUGCAACUAGGGUUCCCAUUUCUGGACAAAGUUUAAUUAUAUGUGAGAACAAGAUGAAAUAUCUAAGUUGUUAUUUAAAUGUGAUUUUUUUUUCCUGGAAAAUAAAUGAAAAACAUAAAAA
rnacentral:lncRNA from 1 species